UGAUCUUCGCUAGCAGGUACGAGAUAAAGGUCUCCAAGAGUCGUACGUUGAAACUAACUUUUUCGGUCAAAUCAGAACACCAUACUUCGAGGUUACCAGAUAGUAGGGACGAAGCUUUGACAACUGUCUUGUAAGUCUCUAUAUAAUAGUCACGCAUCAAGACGAUACGAUAAAGGAAACCACCGUUCCAACAACAAGAACCACCCCUAAAGUCUUCACGAAGAACAACACCUUCCGCUACGGUUUUUACUCUAGUAACCACGAAGGAGACUUCGAUGAUGUAAGAUGUUGCUAAUUGUUAAAAGGUUCAACUGGCACUGUGACGGUGUAUGUCAAUCGGCGCGUUGUUUGUAUAGGCCAAUUUUUAAGAGUAGUUCCUACUAAGGGAGUGGACUAAAACUACCAAUACCGAUACUUAUGUAACAAGAGAAUGACGAGGCAGUAGUAGGACAACGAGCUGGUACAAAGAGUUAAAACCUGAGGUAAAGUUAUGACGACCUCAUACGUCAUAAGCAUAAAUAAUGCAUUCCAAAUAAGUAAAAUUAUUAAAUUACGGUUUAAUGACUAGGCCCCAAAGGAAGAACGUUGAAAAUUACAAUAUGUGACCGCGUUCGAUCUCUCCGGAGGAGACGUAGAACAACGAUAACCGAGACGACAUAUAAGAAACUAAUCAAUAUCUUUUCGUUGUACCUCUUCGUGUACCACUCAACCACUGGUGAACGACUACGCGGUCCACGGAUGUAUAUAGAACUUUCUAGUGCCAACUACUAUCAGAUGUAAAUAAACACGAAUCCCGUUCACGGUUUCGUAAAGAAACCAAUAGUGGAGACAGCGUAUUCGUAAUCUACAC
rnacentral:rRNA from 1 species